AUUGAACGCUGGCGGCAGGCUUAACACAUGCAAGUCGAGCGGUAACAGGGGGAGCUUGCUCCCUGCUGACGAGCGGCGGACGGGUGAGUAAUGCAUAGGAAACUGCCCAGUAGUGGGGGAUAGCCCGGGGAAACCCGGAUUAAUACCGCAUACGCCCUUUGGGGGAAAGCAGGGGAUCUUCGGACCUUGCGCUAUUGGAUGUGCCUAUGUCGGAUUAGCUAGUUGGUGGGGUAAGAGCCUACCAAGGCGACGAUCCGUAGCUGGUCUGAGAGGAUGAUCAGCCACAUCGGGACUGAGACACGGCCCGAACUCCUACGGGAGGCAGCAGUGGGGAAUAUUGCACAAUGGGCGCAAGCCUGAUGCAGCAAUGCCGCGUGUGUGAAGAAGGCCUGCGGGUUGUAAAGCACUUUUAUUAGGAAAGAAAAACCCGGAGCUAAUACCUCCGGCAUUGACGGUACCUACAGAAGAAGCACCGCAAACU
rnacentral:rRNA from 1 species